GUAGCACCCUCUCAGGUGCACUGAUAUUAUUUGUAUUAUUUUUGUUAAUAUCUGUACAGCAAGUGUGUUUUUGUUUCAUUAUAUGCUCAUAUAAUAUGUUUAUAUCUUGUUUAAACUGUGUAAUGGUAUGCAGUUUAUUUUGUGCUGUCCUAUCAUAGAGGGGGAUGGAGAGCAUGUGACAGGAAGAGUUGGGAGAGAAGCGACAGGAGACAGCGUUUUUUCUUAGUUUUAAUUUAAUUAGUGAAGUUACACGCUUUUGGUUAAAAUAGCAAAUGCAUUCACAUGCAUUUAUGUUGUACUAGUUUGGGAGUUAAAUAUUUUUCAUGCAUAAGGGUGCAUAGUGCAUGACGGAGGUUCGCUGACUUCCAGAAAAAUAGCAAUUGCUAUAAAGGGUAGAAGUGCACAGACUUCGGUGGGAACUCUGCACGCGGCGGAGACCGGGAGACCAGCGCGACGCGGGACGGCCCGGUGCUGUGGAGGCGUUGGACCACGCGAGGAGCGUUCAUUCUACGUUAGGAGCUGCACCGACGAAAGUUUUGUUCUGCAGACGGCAGAAGUGCAGCGGAUCGUGGGGACAAUACUGGAAGAAGUAAGAACCUCUCUUCAUCCAGUGCACACUUGGUCUGAGGUCUGAGAUGACCUGCAGGAUCAGGGGUCUGGAGCGCAGUCUGCCAUGUCUGUACUCUGGCCAUGCCCCAGCUGACACCACUCAUGCCCCCUUCCCCUAAAACUGUGGCCGGAGCCAGCUGAGCAGAAUAAGUAAGUGUCUCAUGGUUCUUUCCCCCUGUCCCUUUUAUUUAACCCACCAUCUCUCUCCCUCCUUCCUGACAAGCUUAGUGUCUGGCUCCCUCUUAUCUUCAGUCUCCAUGUAGUGACGCCAACCAUGACAAAACACUGGGACUUAAAUUUCUCCUGGCUGGCUGCUGUGCUCGCUCGCCCCAUCCAGAUCCUCCACCGGCCCACUCCACUACUCCUCCUCCCCUCCACCAUCCUCCACAACCAACAGACUAGA
rnacentral:lncRNA from 1 species